UCGAGGACAUUAAAGGACAGGGAA
rnacentral:rasiRNA from 1 species